GAAGUGUUUGAUUUUGGCUUAAUUUUUUACGUUAUUAUUAAAAUUGUAUGAAAGUUAUGGCGUGUCUAGAAAAUUUAGUUUUAUACUAAGUUAAAGUAAUAAGUAAGUAAAUCAUAAAAUUAUAUGGUCUCAGCAUGAAUUAUUAAAAUAAUAUACAAGAGUAUGAGUUAGUAAUAAUAUAAAAAUCUGAUGAAUAUUU
rnacentral:rRNA from 1 species